AGCAAGGGAAUACCUCUAAUUUAUAACGAUUAUACAAAACUAACUAUCUUUUAAUUAAAUGAAAUCUUCGUGGGAAUUCUACCAACAACAUCGUUGGAGUUCCAGAACCAAACCCAAAAGUUCAAAGAGUGCACCCAACAAACAAAAAGCCUGUAAGCUAAGCCAACAAAUACCCCAACACGUAAUUAAAAACAAUAACAAACCGGAAAAAAAUUUAGCUGCUGUCACUUGUUAUUAAUUUGAAAAAUGGAAAAACAAAAAUAUAAAAAAAGAAGUUGUUGGAGUGAUAGGGCAGAAGCCCUACUAAUUGAGUUGUGGCAGAGCAAAGUAAGUGCUUUUCGCGGUUCAAAGAAGAACAGCCACAUAGUAGAGGAAAUGGCAAUGGAGUUGCAGCAACAAGGUGUGCAUUUCACGGCGAGUGAAAUAAAGUCGAAAAUGCACAAUCUUUCGCAGAGAUAUAGGAAAGAGAAGACAGCAGUCGGAUCAACUGGCGGUUCUCCCUCGCAGUGGCCGCUGUACGAUAAAAUGAGAUCCGUACUGUUGCCGUACGUCAGCUACAACGCAGAGAGCUUAGAAAAGUUUUCAAAGUUCUACUAACUCGGAACCACUCCAAAUUUCGGUGGAAACGGCUGCGUGUUCGACAUUUGUUGCUGCAUCUCCAUUGUCCUCACCAGUUUGCCUGCCAUCACCCUCAGCGAUGCCGAUGUCGUCAAGCGAUACUUCUUCG